rnacentral:rRNA from 1 species
AGUGAACGCUGGCGGUAGGCCUAACACAUGCAAGUGCACGGCAGCACAGUAAGAGCUUGCUCUUACGGGUGGCGAGUGGCGGACGGGUGAGGAAUACAUCGGAAUCUACUUUUUCGUGGGGGAUAACGUAGGGAAACUUACGCUAAUACCGCAUACGACCUACGGGUGAAAGCAGGGGAUCUUCGGACCUUGCGCGAUUGAAUGAGCCGAUGUCGGAUUAGCUAGUUGGCGGGGUAAAGGCCCACCAAGGCGACGAUCCGUAGCUGGUCUGAGAGGAUGAUCAGCCACACUGGAACUGAGACACGGUCCAGACUCCUACGGGAGGCAGCAGUGGGGAAUAUUGGACAAUGGGCGCAAGCCUGAUCCAGCCAUACCGCGUGGGUGAAGAAGGCCUUCGGGUUGUAAAGCCCUUUUGUUGGGAAAGAAAAGCAGCAGGUUAAUACCCCGCUGUUCUGACGGUACCCAAAGAAUAAGCACCGGCUAACUUCGUG